CCCUCACAGCAUUAGCGGAACAUUAGACAAGACAGACACCCAACAUUGGGGACUUUGCAGCUCAUCUCCCAUGAGGCCGUCCUGCCGGUUUCCCAGCACAAAGGCGAGGAAGGAGAGGAUGAGUGCGUCCAGGAUGCCCAUGAUGGCCAGGAUGUAGGCCCAGCGCACUGAGCACUUCCCG